rnacentral:rRNA from 1 species
AGCAGCCGCGGUAAUUCCAGCUCCAAUAGCGUAUAUUAAAGUUGUUGCAGUUAAAAAGCUCGUAGUUGAAUUUCGAGACCGGCUUAUUGGUCGUGCUUUUGUACGUACUGGUAUAAUCGGUUUCUCCUUUCUGACGAACUAUAAUGCCAUUAAUUUGGUGUUAUAGGGAAUCAGGACUGUUACUUUGAAAAAUUAGAGUGUUUAAAGCAGGCUCACGCUUGAAUACAUUAGCAUGGAAUAACGGAAUAGGAC